GUCUUAAUUUGAAGAACUUAAUUUUUGAGUUAAAAAGCUUAAAUAUUCUUGUUGGACGAGAAGACCCUAUAGAUCUUUAUAAUUUUAUGUUUUGGUAAUUUAGAUUAUUAUUUACUUAAAGCAAAGUAAUUAUUUUGUUGGGGUGACUGUAGAAUUAAAAUAACUUCUAUUGUAUUUGUUUCAUUUAUUAAUGUUUUUAUGAUCCAUAUUUUAUGAUUAUAAGAUUAAGUUACCUUAGGGAUAACAGCGUAAUUUCCUCGGAGAGUUCAUAUGGAUGAGA
rnacentral:rRNA from 1 species